GAUAGCCUACGGGAGGCAGCAGUAGGGAAUAUUGCUCAAUGGGGGAAACCCUGAAGCAGCAACGCCGCAUGGAGGAUGAAGGUUUUCGGAUUGUAAACUCCUUUUGUUAGAGAAGAUAAUGACGGUAUCUAACGAAUAAGCACCGGCUAACUCCGUGCCAGCAGCCGCGGUAAUACGGAGGGUGCAAGCGUUACUCGGAAUCACUGGGCGUAAAGAGCGCGUAGGCGGGAUAGCAAGUCAGAUGUGAAAUCCUAUGGCUUAACCAUAGAACUGCAUUUGAAACUGUACUUCUUGAGUGCUGGAGA
rnacentral:rRNA from 1 species